ACUCGUAUAUUAUUGUGCUCCCAAUGCUGUCCUUUUGCCAUUCAGAUUCUUCAAGGUAAUGAAAAGCAGUUUUCCUUCUGGCAACAGACUAUCAGCAUAAAUGAGCUAGUGACAGCAUGCCCCUGCAUACCUGCUGCGGGCGAUGAGAGAGGUGAGUGCCUCCCAUCUGCCAGUCGUCAUCAUAAGAGCCACAUAAGGGCUGCCCUUUCCUCCGAAGCACUAAUGUCUGCAGGUGAAGAUUCUUGACCUCUGUGGCUGUCAGCACAUAACUUCGGUGUGUCAGAUCCAGAUCUGCCUUGAACUGCCGGCUCAUGGAAGUUGCCCAGUCCACAGCAAAACUGUUGCCUGAACUGUCACAGCACCAGGAUGCACUCAGCUUUCCUGGAGCUGCCACACAUCGUCUCAUCCCUCCUCUAGGAGCAGCACUGUCAGUGCUGGCUGGGAGCAGACUUGGGCUACGUUUGCUGUGCAGCUGCGGCUAACCGAGGUGAGCCUGCUGGAGAGGUGAUGGGAACAGCCAGCACAAGGAUGGAGACACUGUGCAGCCGACGCGCAGGAUGGGGCUGCUCGGCCGCGGACAGAGGAGGAGGAGGAGCAGCGCCGGAUCUCUCUUGGUAGUGCCUGUCCUGCUGCCACUGCUGGUUUGGUUUAAA